CAAAAAUUAUAACAGUGAGAAAAUGAUGGCAGUGAAAGAGAUCCGACCUAACGGACUCCAUCUUGCUUCUAACCUCCAAGCGAUCCUUGUUCAUUCCUGGGGACCCUGUGUUCCAAUGCACCAGCAGGCACCCAGACCGGUACUCUGGCUCAACCAGUUCUGCGAUGCCACCCAGGAACCGAAUGAAGACAGCAAAAUAAUCCCACUUUGACACUCUAUGAUUUUAUUUCUGACUCCACCAAUCAGCACUCCCCACUUUCCGACUCCCUACCCACCAAAUUAUCCUUAAAAACCUGAGUCUCAGAAUUUUCAGGGAGACUUAAAAAUUUGAGUAAUCAUAAAACUCUGGU
rnacentral:lncRNA from 1 species